UACGGGGGAUGCAAGCGUUAUCCGGAAUUAUUGGGCGUAAAGCGCCUGCAGGCUGUUUGGCAAGUCUGGGGUCAAAUGCCACGGCUUAACCCUGGGAAGGCAACAGGAACUGCCAAACUGGAGGGUGGUAGGGGUAGAGGGAACUCCUAGUGUAGCGGUAAAAUGCGUAGAUAUUAGGAAGAACACCGGCGGCGAAGGCGCUCUACUGGACCAUUACUGACGCUCAGAGGCGAAAGCUAGGGGAGCGAGAGGG
rnacentral:rRNA from 1 species